CCUACGGGUGACUGCAGUGAGGAAUAUUGGUCAAUGGGCGCGAGCCUGAACCAGCCAAGUAGCGUGAAGGAUGACUGCCCUCCGGGUUGUAAACUUCUUUUAUAAAGGAAUAAAGUGAGGCACGUGUGCCUUUUUGUAUGUACUUUAUGUAUAAGGAUCGGCUAACUCCGUGCCAGCAGCCGCGGUAAUACGGAGGAUACGAGCGUUAUCCGGAUUUAUUGGGUGUAAAGGGAGCGUAGAUGGGUUGUUAAGUCAGUUGUGAAAGUUUGCGGCUCAACCGUAAAAUUGCAAUUGAUACUGGCAGUCUUGAGUACAGUUGAGGUAGGCGGAAUUCGUGGUGUAGCGGUGAAAUGCUUAGAUAUCACGAAGAACUCCGAGUGCGAAGGCAGCUUACUAAACUGCCACUGACAUUGAUGCUCGAAAGUGUGGGUAGCAAACAGGAUUAGAUACCCCAGUAGUC
rnacentral:rRNA from 1 species